ACUGUCUGUAGGUACCUUCAGGACAGCUGAUGUGUUGACGUGAACCAAUCGAACGUCAGACAGGAUUGUCUUCCAGACCUCGGACUCCGCUCCUCUGUUUGAGACGUCCUGAACAGACAGACACACAGUCUGUCGGCCAGUAGGACAGUCAGACAGAUGACGAAGCCCCUAUCCUCCUCCUUUGGGGUGAACCCUAUGGAGGAAGCUCAUUUCGGAGGGGAUCCUGUCUAAUGGUCAAAGCUGACCAGAGCAACGCCCUCAUUGACAGUGUGGAUGUGGGCGUUACACGCGACUCGCGUUAGCUGGACUCACCACCCUCCACAGGUUCUGAGCCGGCAUCGAGACGUUGAAGUCCACGUAUCCAGAAACCUCCUGGGCGUGAGGACUCAUGGG